GAUGAACGCUGGCGGCGUGCCUAAUACAUGCAAGUCGAGCGAACAGAUAAGGAGCUUGCUCCUUUGACGUUAGCGGCGGACGGGUGAGUAACACGUGGGUAACCUACCUAUAAGACUGGAAUAACUCCGGGAAACCGGGGCUAAUGCCGGAUAACAUUUAGAACCGCAUGGUUCUAAAGUGAAAGAUGGUUUUGCUAUCACUUAUAGAUGGACCCGCGCCGUAUUAGCUAGUUGGUAAGGUAACGGCUUACCAAGGCAACGAUACGUAGCCGACCUGAGAGGGUGAUCGGCCACACUGGAACUGAGACACGGUCCAGACUCCUACGGGAGGCAGCAGUAGGGAAUCUUCCGCAAUGGGCGAAAGCCUGACGGAGCAACGCCGCGUGAGUGAUGAAGGUCUUCGGAUCGUAAAACUCUGUUAUUAGGGAAGAACAAAUGUGUAAGUAACUGUGCACGUCUUGACGGUACCUAAUCAGAAAACCACGGCUAACUACGUG
rnacentral:rRNA from 1 species